rnacentral:rRNA from 2 species
UUAAAAUUGUUGCAGUUAAAACGCUCGUAGUUGAAUUUCAAAGAGUCAUGGCGUUUCUGAGGUGCUACGCUUGGUUGAUCGCCCAGCACUGACCAUCUAUGAUUUUAUUGUAGAACAGUGAGCCUGGGUGUUUAGCUCCAAGAAAGUUGUCUCCUUUACAAAGUGAUUUUUCUAAGGGUCUCUUGAGUACCAGUCCUUGGGAGGUUCUUUUUACCUUGAGUAAAUUAGAGUGUUUAAAGCAAACAGAUACAACAGUUUACUGUGUUUAAAUACUACAGCAUGGAAUAAUAAUAUCGAAUGAGCCGACGUACUUUUCGUUUCUUUGUUAUUUUGGCUUAGUUACGAUUAACAGGAAUAGUUGGGGGCAUUUGUAUUCAGAUGUUAGAGGUGAAAUUCUAAGAUUAUCUGGAGACGAACAAUUGCGAAAGCAUCUGUCUAACAUAUUUUCAUUAAUCAAGAACGAAAGUUAAGGGAGUGAAGACGAUCAGAUACCGUCGUAAUCUUAACCAUAAACUAUGCCAACUAUGUUUUGGAUGUAUGAGAAAAAGGUGGAAUACUUUGUUUUACGACAUUGUCAUUCCAUUUAUGCUUCAUUCAGUACCUUAGAGAAAUCAAAGUCUUUGGGUUCUGGGGCGAGUAUUCGCGCAAGCGAGAAAGUUAAAAGAAUUGACGGAAGGGCACCACCAGGCGUGGAGCUUGCGGCUUAAUUUGACUCAACACGGGAAAACUUACUAGUAUAAGACAAGAGUAGGAUUGACAGAUUAAUAGCUCUUUCUUGAUUUCUUGGAUGGUGAUGCAUGGCCGUUUUUAGUUCGUGAAUAUGAUUUGUCUGGUUAAUUCCGAUAACGAACGAGACCUUAACCUGCUAGUUAGCGGCCGGUAUGUCGCGAAUUUAUCAAAAUCUUAUCUCGUAGGCUGGAUUAUUUUUAGAAGAUAUGACGGAUAACCGAGUCGAGUGUCGUCCCCAUCACUGUUCUAUUAAUUCGCAGUCUGUCCUGGUUUUUUUUUGGUAAGUAUGUAUCCGCUUGAAUGUAAGCUUCUUAGAGGUACGAUGUGUGCUUAACACAAGGAAGUUUAAGGCAACAACAGG